CCUGAAACAGUAUUUUAUUAUUAUCUAUUCUGGCCAGAACAACCAUUUGAUACUCAGAUAGAUUAUGAAAGUCCUCACCAGUCUGAGGCAAGAAAAGAACUUACUUGGGAGAUAUUCCUCACCCAAAUUCACAAUCCUUUGUUUUAGAAGUCAGUAACUUGAGGCGCAAGUUAUCCAAUCUAAAAAUAAGUCUGCUAGAAUUUACAUUGCUAGCAGUGGC
rnacentral:lncRNA from 1 species